UACGUAGGGUGCGAGCGUUGUCCGGAAUUAUUGGGCGUAAAGCGCACGUAGGCGGCUCUUUAAGUCGGGGGUGAAAUCCUGGAGCUCAACUCCAGAACUGCCUUCGAUACUGUAGAGCUUGAGUUCGGGAGAGGUGAGUGGAACUGCGAGUGUAGAGGUGAAAUUCGUAGAUAUUCGCAAGAACACCAGUAGCGAAGGCGGCUCACUGGGCCGGUACCGACACUGAGGAGCGAAAGCGUGGGGAGCAAACAGG
rnacentral:rRNA from 1 species